GACGAACGCUGGCGGCGUGCUUAACACAUGCAAGUCGAACGGAAAGGCCCUGCUUUUGUGGGGUGCUCGAGUGGCGAACGGGUGAGUAACACGUGAGUAACCUGCCCUUGACUUUGGGAUAACUUCAGGAAACUGGGGCUAAUACCGGAUAGGAGCUCCUGCUGCAUGGUGGGGGUUGGAAAGUUUCGGCGGUUGGGGAUGGACUCGCGGCUUAUCAGCUUGUUGGUGGGGUAGUGGCUUACCAAGGCUUUGACGGGUAGCCGGCCUGAGAGGGUGACCGGCCACAUUGGGACUGAGAUACGGCCCAGACUCCUACGGGAGGCAGCAGUGGGGAAUAUUGCAUAAUGGGCGGAAGCCUGAUGCAGCAACGCCGCGUGCGGGAUGACGGCCUUCGGGUUGUAAACCGCUUUCGCCUGUGACGAAGCGUGAGUGACGGUAAUGGGUAAAGAAGCACCGGCUAACUAUGUG
rnacentral:rRNA from 1 species